CAAGUAAAAGAAAACAAAAGAAUUAAAAUCAUUUCAGGAAGACAAAACCAUGGCACAUAUUUUAGCUGGUCGAAACGACUGCUAUUCUUUUUGCAUAGAAUAACUUGGGUAACGCUACGCGGCGGCGCCAGCUACCCAGCUCGAUUCAUCAGAGCGUGUAACACUAGCCAUUCCUCUCUGCGCCAUCUCGGUGGGUGCUGGAUAUUUUUUAAACACAACUGGAAAACUACUAGAAAACAGAAGUUGAUAAGGCACUUGGACUUGAUCCUUUUAGGCAUCUGUCUCGCUCUGAUCUCACCAGCUUUCCAAGGGUUAUGAGUCUUUUGGUCUUCCUUUCCAAAUCUUUUGAAGGUAACAGCACUUUUCCCCACCCACUCCGUUUGCCUGUUUUCUCCUACACUGUCGGAAACUUUUUUCUUUAAUUUUUCUUAUUUUUUUUUAUUUUAUAACUGCAAGUAUCAAAAGCUAAAAUAGCCAAAAAUAGAUUUUUGAUUUAUGUUUUAAUCUCCAGCACCCUGUAAAAUUAUCUUACUUUUUUGUUCUGUAUUUUCAUAUGCAAUGACAGAUAUCUACAUUUUUAUAUAUUUAUAUUUAUAAGACGUAUGUAUAAAGCAAUUUGAACAGGCAGGCAUGGCUUUCACAUCCUAUAUUUUCUUGAGAGUUGAACAAAGGACUGUGGGCUCAGAAGCUAGACUACAAUCAGAGGGAGGUGUGACACAUUGUGGAUGCACUUUUUGAAUUUUUGUUUGGCAUGUAUUAGAUUCUAUUAGUAAAAUAAGAAAAAUUGCCUAUGCAGGAAGGCUCGGAUUAUGCCAACCUCAAACCAAGAAAUACAUUAAAAGAAAGUUCUUCCAAAAUUUGUAAAUGAAUUAAAAAAAUGCAAUAAAAUAAAAUCUUGGCUGAUGAAAAAACUCAAUAAACAAAAUUUUUAAUUUGCAGAACUUUAGUGUCCUUUCCCAGCAAUGUAAGAAUGAAGCUGGAAUUAAGAAGCAUGAAAAUUUAGUGUUAAUAUCCUGUGUUAACCUCAUGGAAGAAAAUAAUGUAGCAAUAAGGGGUCAACGAAAAUCUAGCUGACUGGGCGUCUGUUCCAGCUGAAGGCAGGCACCAAAAGUUCACACCCUUCCCAAGUCUAAAAUCACAAAGAGAGCCCUCUGCGAGACAGAUGCAUAAUUGCAGAUAUAUAUACCUCACUGGAAAACCCUUUGGCUAAAAACGCACGCAAUACUUUUAUUUUUAAUCUUUGUGAUCACAGCUCGGCUAACUCAUUGAGAUGUUCUUCUAAAUACAUCAGGCACUGGAUAGUAGAUGUAGUGUGGACGGGGGCGUAGCAAUGGCCAGUCGCUAAUAAGCACUACCGCUGUGUCCCCGAAGCCUCAGC
rnacentral:lncRNA from 1 species